UGCCCGUAUGUCCACGCGAUGACAUCACCGGCAGCCAAUCAGGGGGCGCGGGGCUGGCCGGCCGGGGGGUGGAGGCUCGCGCCCGCCCGUUGGGGCCGUUGAGUUGCGUGCCCGGUGCUUCGCGGCCGCCAGACCGCAGUACCUCACAGCCCAGCGGUGCAUCACAGUCCCCAGUGCCUCACAGCCCCCGGUACCUCAAAGCCCCUCAGUACCUCACAGCUCCCCGGUACCUCACAGCCCCCGGUACCUCACAGCCCCUCAGUACCUCACAGCCCCCCGCUGUUCCCAACGGGCAGAAGCCAGCCUGGGCCACCCCCGGGACACCCAGCUCCCUCCCUGCCGCCCCGUGUUGGGUUUAUGCUGACCGCAGAAUGGGCUCAGAGCAGCUGUGUGCCCCUCGGCUCCCCCAGCCCAGCGCUGCCCGUACCAGUACCGGUGGCACACGGGCUGAUCCUUUGUGCCCCCUCACCAUGUGCUGAGGGUGAACGGGCACCGUGGUCGUACAUGGGGCCAUAGGUCGAAACUCAGCUUACCUAGCGUUUUUAUUUAUCUGUCUCAACUUUUCUGGAGCAUUGGAAAAGCCCUGAAAAAGCCUGUAACUUGACAAUAGGCCCCCUCUCUCUUCCACAUAGGCGCACAAUGGGAUUAUUUCCCAGAGUUACAUCCACAGUCCAGAAAAUACGCAGCUUUUAGCUUUAAGGUCCAGUGCAUGUAUGCUGCGAGGAGGAGGUUGGAAGGGUCACCCAGCGUGGUAGUGCUGCUUCCCGCAGCUCUCUGCCAGCCGACAGAGUUGAUGGACACUGAAACCUCGAUUGCCUCAGAACAGAUGCUCACAAGCAAGUUCAGAAACAGAACACUGAGACCACGGAUCGCCCUCUGCCAUGGAAGACUUGCUAAUAGACAAGCUAAUUUGAGUGCCCAGACCCGGCUGCCAAUCAACCUAGUUAUCCUUGCCGUGUCCACAUGAUCUGGGACUCAAUAUACUUUUAUACAUCUCACUAGGAGGGUGUUUUUUUUUUUUUUUUUUUUUUUUUUGGUGUGCGUGUGCCUUUCCUGAGGCUUACUUCUAGUGGUUAUUUAAAUACAAUUUAUGUAUUAUUAAAGUGAUGACACAUCUGGCUAAAAAUUGAUGUAUUUUCUGGUCGAUGAACAUAAAAUUCAUUC